AUUUCUUCUCUCUGUGAGCACCACUAUGCAUGUUUGUAGUUUUAGGCAUUAGUUGCAAUCUUUAGUUACUGUAUUGGAAAUUUUCACUGAUGAAAACAAAUGCCAACUUUGGAUCCUGGCUAUCCAGUCCCUCUUACAUGGGAUCUUCUAGGGAUAUAUUCAAGACUCAGAUGUAUAUUCAUCAUCAAGUACUGAGCAAACAUGUUGGAUCCAUAGCGAAUAUAUUCAGGUGUUUUUACUUUGUCAAGGAAAUGUUAUUUCUAAUUAGUUCAUCACAUGGUAUAUAAAUAUUCUGAUUCAGUUAAUAUAUGUCGACUUGAAUUUGGGUCUGUACGGUUGGAAAACUUGCUUUGUUCUUCAUGUAUCUGAAAUGUAUCUUUUAGAGAAAUAAGAACAGGUUGCACUGGAAAGAAAAAUGUAUAAGGUUCUGUUCAGCUUCCACCAUUCAUCAUUUUAGUACUAGAAGUUUCAUUAUCAAAGCCUCUUACAAUAU